AAAAGUUUAGUUAAAAAAUAACAUUAGAAUGUCAAUCUAAAAUUAUUGAAAUAUAACUUUUU
rnacentral:tRNA from 1 species